GGAGAGAUGGCAGAGCGGUCGAUUGCGGCGGUCUUGAAAACCGUUGAAGGGAAACCUUCCCAGGGUUCGAAUCCCUGUCUCUCCGCCA
rnacentral:tRNA from 1 species